GUGUGUGUGUGAGUGAGUGUGUGUGUGCGUUUGUGGCGAGGGAGUGGAGAAGCAGAGACAGGUGGCGCUUGGGAGGGUGAGCGGCUGGCUGGAGCGUUUUGGUAGGGCGCUGGUCAGUCUUGCUCCACACACUCUGGUGAUAAGUGUUUUCGUAAUCCCGGCUGCUUCUCUCUCUACCAAGCAGCGCCACACAAAACCAGAGAGCCAUGAGUACGUAAGGAUGGAACACUGAGGAUAACACACGGAAGGGGGUGAAGGAGCCUUGGGGAUGCCUGAAGGAGGGGCAGUGAAGAAGGGAAGCCUGAAGGUGAAGGAAAUGCAGAAAAUUCCUCCAAUACUGAACGCUUCUCUGCACAGACCUUCCUUCAACUUAACAUUCCCAUUAUUUAUUUAUUAUUACUUCUAAGUAUGUCUAAGGAUCACUUAUUUAUUUAGUUUUCUAUUUAUUUUUUUAUAUUUUCCAUCCGUUUUUUUUUAUAAUGGAGACUUUUUAUUUCAUGUAUAUUCCCGUUUUCUGUUACUUGUUUAUCUUAGGGGUGACAAUAAAUAUUAAAAUUA